rnacentral:piRNA from 1 species
AAAAAGGAAAAGCCUGAGUCUGUAGUCUU